rnacentral:rRNA from 1 species
AUUGAACGCUAGCGGCAUGCUUAACACAUGCAAGUCGUACGGCAGCACAGUAUGUAGCAAUACAUAUGGGUGGCGAGUGGCGGACGGGUGAGUAACGCGUAGGAAUCUACCUCAUAGUGGGGGAUAACCCGGGGAAACUCGGGCUAUACCGCAUAAUCUUUACGAAGCAAAGAUGGCCUCUAUUUAUAACCUAUCGCUGUGAGAUGAGCCUGCGUUGGAUUAGCUAGUUGGUGGGGUAAAGGCCUACCAAGGCAACGAUCCAUAGCUGGUCUGAGAGGAUGAUCAGCCACACUGGGACUGAGACACGGCCCAGACUCCUACGGGAGGCAGCAGUGGGGAAUAUUGGACAAUGGGCGCAAGCCUGAUCCAGCAAUGCCGCGUGUGUGAAGAAGGCCUUCGGGUUGUAAAGCACUUUUAGUGGGGAAGAAAAAACCAAAGAUAAUACCUUUGGGAAUUGACGUUACCCACAGAAAAAGCACUGGCAAACUCUGUGCCAGCAGCCGCCGUAA